GGGUCUCUGGCAGUGGGGUGUAUCUGUAGGUGGUCCAGAGGGAAAGGAGAAAUUGAGGAAAGGCACUCACUCACUGCCAGCGAGAGGAGACUCUGUGUCAAUAGUGAAACACGCCUUGCUCGAGACUCCUCGGAGUGGCCAAGCAAGCACGGGCCUCUGAAAGGCCUGUAGCACAGAAAUUUGAUGUUGUGGCGAUGAUACAGCAUACUUCCUAUCACUGAACUCUCACCGUGUGGGAGUGUAUCCUUUACCUAGUUUUUCUAUUUUAAACAAA